rnacentral:rRNA from 1 species
AUGGCUGCCGCCUCCGCACUCAAGACGGCCGCCGUCGUUGCCAUCUGCAUCGCCAUGUUGCUGGUCCAGACCACCUUGGGGGUGGGGUACCUAACGGCGCAGGCCCCUGCCGGCGGUGGCUUGGCAUGCCCUGAUACCCAGACCACGUGCGGGGCGAAUUGCUUAGUACGCUGUGAGAGCAUGUCGCAGAACAUCUGCAAGGUUGUCUGUACGGCCUCGCCGUUUCCGGUGGUGGAUCAAACCUGUGCCGGUAGGUUGUUCAGCGCCUGCGUGAGCAUCUGCAAGACCGCGUGCGAGAACCUCCCGAGCUACUAA